rnacentral:rRNA from 1 species
AACGCUAGCUACAGGCUUAACACAUGCAAGUCGAGGGGUUUCGAAGGAGCUUGCUCCCUAAAGACGACCGGCGCACGGGUGAGUAACGCGUAUCCAACCUGCCCUUCAUAUUGGGAUAGCCUCUCGAAAGGGAGAUUAAUCCCCGAUGUUGUCACAUUCCCGCAUGGAAGUGUGACCAAAGUUUUUCGGUAUGGGAUGGGGAUGCGUUCCAUUAGCUUGUUGGCGGGGUAACGGCCCACCAAGGCGACGAUGGAUAGGGGUUCUGAGAGGAAGGUCCCCCACACUGGAACUGAGACACGGUCCAGACUCCUACGGGAGGCAGCAGUGAGGAAUAUUGGUCAAUGGACGAGAGUCUGAACCAGCCAAGUAGCGUGAAGGAAGACUGCCCUACGGGUUGUAAACUUCUUUUAUACGGGAAUAAAGUGCCUUACGUGUAGGGUUUUGUAUGUACCGUAUGAAUAAGCAUCGGCUAAUUCCGUGCCAGCAGCCGCGGUAAUACGGAAGAUGCGAGCGUUAUCCGGAUUUAUUGGGUUUAAAGGGAGCGUAGGCGGGUUUUUAAGCCAGCUGUGAAAGUUUGCGGCUCAACCGUAAAAUUGCAGUUGGAACUGGAGACCUUGAGUGUGCAUAAGGUGGAUGGAAUUCGUGGUGUAGCGGUGAAAUGCUUAGAUAUCACGAAGAACUCCGAUUGCGAAGGCAGUCCACUGGGGCACUACUGACGCUGAGGCUCGAAAGUGCGGGUAUCAAACAGGAUUAGAUACCCUGGUAGUCCGCACAGUAAACGAUGGACACUCGCUGUUGGCGAUAUACGGUCAGCGGCCAAGCGAAAGCACUAAGUGUCCCACCUGGGGAGUACGCCGGCAACGGUGAAACUCAAAGGAAUUGACGGGGGCCCGCACAAGCGGAGGAACAUGUGGUUUAAUUCGAUGAUACGCGAGGAACCUUACCCGGGCUUAAAUUGCAGAGGACAGCUCAAGAGAUUGAGUCUUCUUCGGACCUCUGUGAAGGUGCUGCAUGGUUGUCGUCAGCUCGUGCCGUGAGGUGUCGGCUUAAGUGC